rnacentral:rRNA from 1 species
GAUGAACGCUGGCGGCGUGCCUAAUACAUGCAAGUCGAGCGAACGGACGAGAAGCUUGCUUCUCUGAUGUUAGCGGCGGACGGGUGAGUAACACGUGGAUAACCUACCUAUAAGACUGGGAUAACUUCGGGAAACCGUAGCUAAUACCGGAUAAUAUUUUGAACCGCAUGGUUCAAAAGUGAAAGACGGUCUUGCUGUCACUUAUAGAUGGAUCCGCGCUGCAUUAGCUAGUUGGUAAGGUAACGGCUUACCAAGGCAACGAUGCAUAGCCGACCUGAGAGGGUGAUCGGCCACACUGGAACUGAGACACGGUCCAGACUCCUACGGGAGGCAGCAGUAGGGAAUCCUCCGCAAUGGGCGAAAGCCUGACGGAGCAACGCCGCGUGAGUGAUGAAGGUCUUCGGAUCGUAAAACUCUGUUAUUAGGGAAGAACAUAUGUGUAAGUAACUGUGCACAUCUUGACGAUACCUAAUCAGAAAGCCACGGCUAACUACGU